rnacentral:rRNA from 1 species
AUGGCGGAGGCGGAGGCGGAAGUGGACUCCUACAUUAAUUAUAUGUUGAUGGAGAGGAGGGAGGUGAUGAGGGCUCAGGAGGAGGCGGAGAGGAGGAUGAGAGGAGGCCCCGGCCGCAAAAUGAAGAAACGGAAGACGGAGACGGGAAAGAGCUCAAAGAAGGCGGCGCCCGCGGUUCCGGUGGAGAUGAGCGUCAGCGAGGUGGGGAGCAGCCCAGCGGAAUCUGAAGAUCUGGCGAGGACAAGGGAGAUUGUGGAAGCAGCCAUGGCCAAGAUUCUGGCGCGGAUGAAGGGGAUCGUCAUCAAGGAGCCGGCCAAGACGAUGACAGAGGAGGACGUCGCGGCGGCGGCCGUGUACAGAGCCAAGGCGGAGGAGGCGCGCAGGAACGAGGACCGGCCGGAAGAGUCCAGCGCCCUCCGGAAGUGGAUCGCCACGGGAGACCCCGAGGCCGUCAAGUGCCGCAAGGAGUGGAUCGCGGAAGACAUGGAGGCCCUGAGGCUCAAGGACAUGGAUCCCGACGAGGAUACCUCCGACUGGCGUGCCUUCGAGGCCAAGGAGUUCCGCGAGUUCUGGGAAUACCUUUAUCCCAAAUCCUUUGGUAAAUUCGAGGACAACACGCGUAUCCCAUCCAUGCUUUACACGGACAACAAGUCGUCAGGUGGCACAGCCCACCCCAUAAGAACUCUGCAGGUCUUUUCAGUCAAAGUUGCGGGACUACAAGAUGGAGUGCACUGGCCGCUGCAAGUGUUUGGCGUCGUUGCUGCACGAGAUUGUUUGGAUCAUAAUCGCAAUGUUAUCUUCCAGCGCCAAAGGGAUAACUGCCAAAUGAUCCACAAGGAGAAUCCGUAUCUGACACUGACAGGUCCUAGCCGUGCUAUUGUGGUGGUGGAUCCUGUGUGGUUUGAGGUUGCAUUGAAAGUGAAGGGCGCCACUGAAUCUGAGGAUAAAGAGUUGAGCUAUCACGUCGAUCCUUAUUAUAUUUCCGGCUCAAUGAAUUCCUAUGUGUUCAAUCGCGUCAGGACUAGCAGGCUCAGCACAAUGGAGUUGACAUUGGGUGACAUGGUUCACUCCGUGGAGGCCACCAUCAGUGUGAAAGUGGUUGGCGGGGAGUGGCCACAAGGUUUCAGAGGUGUAUUUACCGCCACUACCGCCAGCAUAGACGACGAGAAAAUCGUGUUGCUUGGUUUCGGAGACGACAAAUUGCCUGUUGCAGCUGAUGGCUCGAUACAGCUCUCACGAAGUGUUGUGUCUGUCGAAGACGACGGGCAGCUGAGAGUCUCUGUCAUGGCGCGUCACCUGGUGGAUCGAUCUGUCAGGCGGGCUUCUGGAGUACUCGCAGCUAAGACAUCCUCCAGAAGCUAUGCUAAACUUGAAGUUUUCUCUUGUAAGAUGGAAGUCACUGUCGCCUGGUCUCUUCUCCCGUACUGGCCACAUUACCGUGACAUGCCGUGUCCUAGCAUAUGA